CGGGAUUAGUGGCGAACGGGUGAGUAACAUAUCGGAACGUACCAGUAAGUGGGGAUAACUAGUCGAAAGACUGGCUAAUACCGCAUACGCCCUGAGGGGGAAAGCGGGGGAUCGAAAGACCUCGUGUUAUUGGAGCGGCCGAUAUCUGAUUAGCUAGUUGGUGGGGUAAAGGCCUACCAAGGCGACGAUCAGUAGCUGGUCUGAGAGGACGACCAGCCACACUGGAACUGAGACACGGUCCAG
rnacentral:rRNA from 1 species